AAUAAGUUUGAUUCUUGCUUAUUUAUUAAUUUAUUAAUUGAAUUAUAUGCUUGUUUUUUAAUGUUUAUUUUGCAGUAAUUAGUUUUGUUAUUUAAUAUUUUUGUUUUUUGUCAGUAAAUUAAUUAUAAUGGAUAAAUUUUGUGCCAGCAUUCGCGGUUAUACAAUUCAUUAAAGUUAAUGUUUUGUCUGUUUAAUUAUUAUUUUUUUGGUUAAAAUUAAUUUUAUUUAGGUGAAAUUUAUAUUUUGUUUUUCCUUUUUUAAUUUUUAAUAAAUCAUUUGUUUAAACUAGGAUUAGAUACCCUAUUAUUUAUGUAUUUAAAUUUGUUUAUGUGAUUACUAAUAGUUAUGUUCUAUAAAACUCAAAGAAUUUGGCGGUAAUUUAUAUCUUUUUAGAGGAACCUGUAUUUUAAUUGAUAAACCACGAUAAUUUCUACCUUAAAAUUUAUUUGUAUAUCUCUAUAUUUGUGAAUGUUAUUUAAGUAAAUUUUCUUUAUGUUUUUUAAGUUAAUGUUAGGUCAAGGUGCAGUUUUUUUUAGGUUUAUAUGGGUUACAUUAAUUUUAAAUAAAUAUUGUUUUUAUUGUUUACGAUAAUUUUAAAAUAGGAUUUAAUAGUAAUUUUAAUUAAUUAAUUAUUUUGAAUUUAGCUCUAAUUUAUGUACAUAUCGCCCGUCACUCUCUUUAAAAUGGGAUAAGUCGUAACAAAGUAGGUGUACCGGAAGGUGUAGCUAGUAAGU
rnacentral:ncRNA from 1 species